GAUGAAGAACGCAGCGAAAUGCGAUACGUAAUGUGAAUUGCAGAAUUCAGUGAAUCAUCGAAUCUGUGAACGCAUAUUGCGCUCUCUGGUAUUCCGGAGAGCAUGCUUGUUUGAGUAUCAGUAAACACCUCAACUUCCAUAUCUUUUUUGAAAUGGGAGUUGGACUUGAGUGAUCCCAACGCUUUUCCUCACCGAAAAGCGGCGGGUUACUUGAAAUGCAGGUGCAGCUGGACUUUUCUCUGAGCUAUAAGCAUAUCUAUUUAGUCUGCCUAAAAAACAGAUUAUUACCUUUGCUGCAGCUAACAUAAAGGAGAUUAGUUCUUGUGCUGACUGAUGCAGGAUUCACAAAGACAGGCUUCGGCCGACUUUGUAAACUCGAUCUCAAAUCAAGUAAGACUACCCGCUGAACUUAAGCAUAUCAAUAAGCGGAGGA
rnacentral:misc_RNA from 1 species